UACAGAGGUCUCAAGCGUUGUCCGGAUUUAUUGGGCGUAAAGCGUGCGUAGGCGGCUGCGCAAGUCGGUUGUGAAACCCCGGGGCUCAACCCCGGAACUGCAUCCGAUACUGCGUGGCUAGAGGUAGGUAGGGGAGAUCGGAAUUCCUGGUGUAGCGGUGAAAUGCGCAGAUAUCAGGAGGAACACCAAUGGCGAAGGCAGCACUCUGGACGUGACUGACGCUGAGACGCGAAAGCGUGGGGAGCAAACAGG
rnacentral:rRNA from 1 species